UCUCCCUCGCUGGUAGGCAGAUGCAUUAUGGAGAAUUUGGCAAGGUUCAAUUGAUAACUGAAGUAAUGCAGGAAUGACACUAGUGUGAAUACUGCUGGCUUAGAUAUUUCCUGUUUUUCAGAAGGAACAAGUACCCACUAUUCCUGUCAUUUUAAAGGAAAGAAACAAGGACCAUUAUUUCCUUGGCUUAAUAUUAAUAUUAAAUGGAUGCCCACAAAAUGUUGUCAAUGAAAAUCUGUGUUCAAAGCGAUAAUAUAUUCUGGAAUGCUUGGCUCAGAGUUUUCUUAAGAAACAGCUCCUAAAAUAAUGGAGUUUAGGACAAAAUUUCUGAAUAUCUUCUAAUCUUAAGAAAGGUAAAGGGGAGCCCAGCGGGUGACCUGCCAUGUCUUUGAUGUGCUUGACAAACUAACAAAUUUGUGGCAAUCACAGUUCACAUCUGCAUCAUCCUCAUUGAUUGGAUAAGACUCACAGAUCACUGUUGAAUGGAAGUCAAGAAAGAAGAUCAAGGUAAGAAGACAGGGGAGAGUGAGACAGUGUCCUACAUGGCCACCACUUGAGGAAAAUGAAAUAAUGAAAAAGAUGCUUACCAAAACCACAUUGGGAGGCGUGAGACCUGUUUAUGAAGGAUAUACCUAGGUAAGGAAGCUUACACAGGUGGAAGGUUUGCUUGGAACAUGUCUACAGCUGCACAGAUAAGAGGAGCUACACUGGACCAGGCACAUCCGCAAUGGAGAAUCCCAUCCCCUAACCCACGUGCAAGAAGGGAGAUUAAACAACAUGGAGUAACUUCAGCCAAGAGCCCACAUGCACACUAGAAGAACAGGGUGGGGGCUGUUGGGAAUUCACAUCUUAUACAAAUGACAUACCUAGUCCUAAUGGGUUUGCACCUUAUGUAGAGGAAACACCUCUCCCCACUAGCUUGUUUAUAAAAGUCUUUGUAUUCAACUGUAAAGCAGCAACCCUCUUUCGGGACCCCUCUCGUGGCAGAGAGCUUUCUCUCUUCCUUCCGCUUAUUAAACUUCUGCUCUAACUU